rnacentral:rRNA from 1 species
UUCCACGUGUAGCAGUGAAAUGCGUAGAGAUGUGGAGGAAAUACCGAUGGCGAAAGGCAGCCCCCCUGGGCCCAAUACUGACGGUUCAUGCACGAAAGCGUGGGGAGCAAACAGGAUUAGGAUACCCUGGUAGUCCACGCCCUAAACGAUGUCAACUAGUUGUUGGGGGAUUCAUUUUCCUUAGUAACGUAGCUAACGCGUGAAAGUUGACCGCCUUGGGGAGUACGGUCGCAAGAUUAAAACUCAAAGGAAUUUGACGGGGACCCGCACAAGCGGUGGAUGAUGUGGAUUAAUUCGAUGCAACGCGAAAAACCUUACCUACCCUUGACAUGGUCGGAAUCCCGCUGAGAGGUGGGAGUGCUCGAAAGAGAACCGGCGCACAGGUGCUGCAUGGCUGUCGUCAGCUCGUGUCGUGAGAUGUUGGGUUAAGUCCCGCAACGAGCGCAACCCUUGUCCUUAGUUGCUACGCAAGAGCACUCUAAGGAGACUGCCGGUGACAAACCGGAGGAAGGUGGGGAUGACGUCAAGUCCUCAUGGCCCUUAUGGGUAGGGCUUCACACGUCAUACAAUGGUCGGAACAGAGGGUUGCCAACCCGCGAGGGGGAGCUAAUCCCAGAAAACCGAUCGUAGUCCGGAUUGCACUCUGCAACUCGAGUGCAUGAAGCUGGAAUCGCUAGUAAUCGCGGAUCAGCAUGCCGCGGUGAAUACGUUCCCGGGUCUUGUACACACCGCCCGUCACAUUCAUGGGAGUGGGUUUUACCAGAAGUGGCUAGUCUAACCCCACGGAGCCUCACCACGGUAGGAUUC